rnacentral:rRNA from 1 species
UACGGGGGGGGCAAGCGUUGUUCGGAAUUACUGGACGUAAAGGGCUCGUAGGCGGCCAACUAAGUCAGACGUGAAAUCCCUCGGCUUAACCGGGGAACUGCGUCUGAUACUGGAUGGCUUGAGUGUGGGAGAGGGAUGCGGAAUUCCAGGUGUAGCGGUGAAAUGCGUAGAUAUCGGGAGGAACACCUGUGGCGAAAGCGGCUCACUGGACCAUAACUGACGCUGAUGCACGAAAGCUGGGGGAGCAAACAGG